AUGGGCGGGUCGCAGCGUGGGCGGGCGCUUUCCUCCGCCACGUUCGUCACCCGCCCCCCUCCGCUCCCCGCUCCCCCACCCCGCUCCGGUCACAUGGACGCGCUUCCCGUCGCCCCCAGUGCCGAGCGGAGCAAACCACGAGGAGGCGGAGCGCGGCAGGCGCCCAGGGCAGUGGGUCAGCGCCCCGUAGGCAUGGUGGGGGGGCCAACCGCCGCGAGCCGCCGAGAGCCAAUCAGUGGCAUCGAGGGCGUGGUCACGGCCGCGCGCCCGCCGUCCGCCGCCGCCCGCCCGCGCGCGCGCCGCGCCCCGCAGCGCCCCCUGAGGGGCGGCGGCGGGAGCUGGUCCGGCUGCGCGCGCAGCGGUGGUGGUGGCGGGCGGCGCGAUCGGCCAGGCUGUAACCGUCGUCCGUCCGGGAGCGCUGGAGCGGCAGCGGCGGCCGGGAACGGCGCGAGGCGACGCCAGCAGGCAGCGGCGGUAGCGGGGGCAGCGGCGGCAGCGGGAGACGCAGCGGUAGCAGCGGCAGCAGCAGCAGCAAGACGGACUCGUGGACACGCGCCGCCGCCGCCGCCGCCGCCGGGCCGGGCCGGGUGUCGCGCGCCGAGGCUGGGGGGGAGUCGUCGCCGCGCUCCCGCCGCCGCUCCCGCCGCCGCCGCCGCCGCCGAGGUGACUGAGGAGAGAGGCGCCUCCUCGCUCCCGCCUCCGCCGGCCUUCAAUGCCCAGUCCCCAGCUCGCCAGCAAGUCAACAGUUGCAGAUACUUGAAGAGAAGUUAGCCUUGCAUGCAGAGAAUGGGACUUGAAGAAAAUGUGGGUGCAUCCAAAAUGGAAGGAAAAAAAAAUAACUAAGGAGUAAGGAGAGCUAGGCUCUUGUCUUGAUUUGUUCCUAAUUAAUAGUGUUGGUCUUAAAACAUUUAACCUAUUUGAACACGAUCUUGAGUUUUUAAAAGGUCAGAAUAGUUUAUCUCUGCAUUUCUCCUACCUUUUCGAUAAGGAUCCUUGGCUGCACAAGGAGUGUCCUGUAAAAUGUCUGGUGUAACUUCAGGUGCCUGUGUUUGAGGUUACAGUUAGAAUUGAGAGUUAUAAGAGUAGUCAUAGGCAGUUUUGUUUUUCCUAAUUUGUUUUUUGUUGUUAUUUUUGAGACAUUGUCUCUCUAUGUAGUCCUGGUUGUCCUGGAACUUGCUAUGUAGACCUGGCUGGACUUAACUUGUGACACCCCCCUCCCCCGUUUUUUUUCCCCCCUGAGACAGUUUCACUGUAUAGUCCUGGUUGUCCUGGAACUUGCCCUGUACACCAGGCUGGCCUCCAACUCAAGAAAUCCUCCUGCCUCUGCUUCCCAAGUGCUGGCAUUAAAAGCUGUGAGCUGCCACUGCAUGGCUCUACCUUUUUUUUUAAGACAAGAUCUCACUCUGUAGUCUUGGCUGGCCAGGAAUUUGUUUUGUGGUUGCCUCUGCCUCUGCUGUGCUGGUUCUAAAAGUGUGUACCACCAGGCUGGGCCAUAUUUUAGGAAUGUUUUAGUUUUGUGUCCAUGGUAAUAUUAUAAAUAAUGCCACUUAUAAGAAUAUAAGAAAAUAAAAAUGUGAGAGUAAAAGAUGUUUGAAAGUUU
rnacentral:lncRNA from 1 species